rnacentral:sRNA from 1 species
CUUUUAGUCUCUACUACGAUUCUCAGCCGAGGCUUGCAGCCUAGAACCUGUACUCCUUCCCUUUAACUCUUCUGACUCGUCAUGUCCUCUCGCCGUCUACUUAUCGCUUUAUCGGCACUCCAUGACGACAUCGGCACAAUACACUCGAAUCACGAACAGGCGGCCACUAAGGAAGGGAUCAUAGAGCCCUUUGUAACUCACUCGACACCAUAGGCCGUCGCCUGGUUAUCAAUUGUGAGACACUCUACUUGCGAGCUGUUCCAACUUCUUGGAUGCUCUGGCAGAUGUCUUUCAGCACAGCGAGUCCUGUUGUGCAUCGUACUAGUAAAUUAGGCUGUAGAUGGAGCCUUCGGACCUAGAAGAAACUGUGUCGUCAACGAGGCUUACGUCUCUGAUGAUGAAACCCAAUACAGCUGCUGCAACAUUCUAGUACAGACAUGUAGCGCUGUCUCCUUCACAUCAGAUGAAAACCACUCAUCUAGGGAUCUCUACAAUUUGGCAGCCCAUCACACAAUACAAUGUUAUUAAUCCAAGGUUUGACGCAUUAUAGAAAGGCGGUGAUGAAGGAGAAGUCAGCGUCUUCAAGUACGCCGGAUCCGUCCUUUUGGAUCCCCUUAAUUCGCCCUCAUCAAUCUAGCGAGCCGCGAACUUUUGGGCUCUUCGACGGCGUACAAACUCGCCGAAUGGAUGAAGCAGGAGCUCGUCAUUCGAGCGUGAGCUUCUCUUUCUCAGCUUUGUCCACAGCACAUAUAUAUCAGGCCCAAUUUCUGGGUUAGGCACCCUUAACGCCAUCUUCUACUUCCCAUUCUCCACCUUUCUUCGAAUUCUAACACCUUUCACCCCAACGCAUGCAUCUUGGAUGUCCUCUACUGGGUGAUGUGUCUUCUCAGGAAAUUCCUAGAGUAGCAUCGUCAGCUGAAACGGCGAUGGGUUGUUGAAAGGCUGUCUAUUUUUUGGGACAUAUAUAUGAUCCCAGGAAAAUUCAAGUAAACCUUACCUUGUCAAUACCAAUAUCUCCAUCAGCGAGCUCUUGCGGCUAAUCAUGAACCCCAAUACGACGCUACCUCGGUCGCCGGUUUAUAGAAGAAGGGCAUGACGAUGAUGGGCAGCAAAGAGGGCAGAGGGUGAUGAAAGGUUCAGCUACUCCCAAGACGUUACAAGACAUCAAUGGGGAUCGAUGAGCCUGAAGCACCUGGAGCGGAGUCGUCGUUGAGCGAUGACAUGCUGGCAAGAUGGAGAAGGAUAGUUUUAUGAAUGGAACUUUGAAGGUGUAUUUGUGUAACUGAAUUGAAACACCCCUCCAGAUAUCCUUGGCGCCUUCUUCUCCACAGCCUCCGCAACCUUUACAAGUCAGCCAACGCACCUCUUCCAACAAAAACCAGCGGGCAUCGUGUCCGAGACAGAUGUACGUACUGGCUACCUGGCAUGCAUCUCUGUCGCCAGGAAAGUAAACUUUGAGGUCAUAGUCGACAUAACGCAGUGCACUCGAUUUGUGUACCCACAAGUGGUUCCUCGUCAUACCAGACUGCGUUAGGCCCUCAAGCUCGACAACAGCCCUCUUAACAUGGUUAAGGUAGUGGUGGAUUAUUCGUUGAUGAUGACAUGGCAGUGUCGGGCCCCAGAGUUGCGAGUGCGGCACAGUUCAUCGUGCUUCUGAGUCAUGAUGCCCACAGAAAGUAGAUCUAACCAGCGUCCUGUCAUGCAGACCAACAGCCACCUCCUGGUCGAUAGGAGGAGUGAUUGGAAAAGAGGGAUGCAGGACAGCUUGGCGCAGCCCAGUCUGGACAUGUUUCCAGUGAGGCGUUUGUGUUUUUCAAUGUCACUGGAGGAUUGUAAGAGCCGUUUCACACUGGGCCUCUCAGAGGGCGCCGCAUUGUAUGCGCUAAGGAAUGGGAGAGGUGGGUUCCGCAUUAGAAUAGAUAAAUCGGAGAUCGUGAAGAAGGGGAUCAGAGGUUCCGCAUUUAGAAGUUGCAUGCCUCCUGACGACCGACAACCUAUCACUGAAAUAGCUUAUUUUCUCUGUCGUCACUCAUUUUGAGAGGUAAUCUGUUCCGUAUCUCACUCAGGGUCCUGUAGAAGGGACAAGAUAUCUUGAACGACAGAUCUCUCAUUCAGUAUACGGCGACUCAAAACCGCAAGAGGGUCAUUGGUUGUUGAUGUGGCAUUGAGCUUAUCUCGUUCCUUGACUGGAUAGUUCCUCCUGCAGUGACUCCAGCAAAUAUCGCCAUCUGUAUCUCAUCAUUCAGCACUAAGUAUCAUGCAGCGCGCGGCUAUAAUCAUGUCUUUCAUCCCCAAAACUUGAUGGACUAAAAAAAUGCUGUAAAAAAGAAACGAAAAGUCGAGAGUCCAAAACUAAUCCAUGCAAAUACCGUACAAAACGUC